rnacentral:lncRNA from 10 species
CUCUUAUUGAGUGUGGGCAAAAGCUCACACUCAGUCCCAGGAUUAAGUUACUAAUCACUUGAUGUUGUCUUAAUUGAAAGGCAGAUUACCCAGACUAGUCCCUUCUGCCUUCUGGGCAGGUCACAUCUGAAAGAUUAUCCUCUUUGAAUCAGUUUGAAUGUUCUAGUGACCAGGCCACACAGUUUCUCUUGACAUUUAAAAAUAAAGCUUCCAGUCUUGUCACUAAUGGAUUUGGGGUCCAGUACCCUUAAAAUCACCUCAGAGCUGCCUGAAUCCAUAGACUACUUGCAGAAUCACUGGUUUUACUUGGAUCAAGCCAUCUGAGAAGUUUGGCUGAAAUAAAAACUCAAAGCCCCCACAAUAUUGAACCACCAUUCCAGACCCAGCCAAGGUUUGGAACAUAAAGUGAGCUGAAUGAAUCAGCCUGCAGGCAACCCAGAGAAAGUAAUUGUUCAUCCUAGCAGCACGGCUGCUUUUCUGCUUAGCAUCUGAACAAGUUAAUUUGGAAACACAGCCUUCUGGAAAGAAAUGGCGCUUCUCUCAGCAUCCCAUGGAUUCAUGAGCUUGACCAGUCUGUAUUUGACCUUCCAUCACCAAUUAAUUAAAAAACAAAAGCAG